AGUUAACGCUGGCGGUAGGCCUAACACAUGCAAGUCGAACGGCAGCACAGUAAGAGCUUGCUCUUACGGGUGGCGAGUGGCGGACGGGUGAGGAAUACAUCGGAAUCUACUUUUUCGUGGGGGAUAACGUAGGGAAACUUACGCUAAUACCGCAUACGACCUACGGGUGAAAGCAGGGGAUCUUCGGACCUUGCGCGAUUGAAUGAGCCGAUGUCGGAUUAGCUAGUUGGCGGGGUAAAGGCCCACCAAGGCGACGAUCCGUAGCUGGUCUGAGAGGAUGAUCAGCCACACUGGAACUGAGACACGGUCCAGACUCCUACGGGAGGCAGCAGUGGGGAAUAUUGGACAAUGGGCGCAAGCCUGAUCCAGCCAUACCGCGUGGGUGAAGAAGGCCUUCGGGUUGUAAAGCCCUUUUGUUGGGAAAGAAAAGCAGCAGGUUAAUACCCCGCUGUUCUGACGGUACCCAAAGAAUAAGCACCGGCUAACUUCGU
rnacentral:rRNA from 1 species